UCUGUUGCAAUGGCGUAGUCAGUAGGAUUCAUGGCCUCUCUCCAGGACUGGAGCUACCUAAAGAGCGGAGAAAAUCAAAAUAUACCAGAAGUGUUAUUUUCCCAUUCCCUGUUUUAAUGAAGUAAAUAAGAUUGUUAGAGGGUCUCCGACCAAGUGUCUUCAGCUCUUGCUGUUGUUCUGUCUUUUGUGAGUUUAAUUUUGAAAACAGACACUCAUGUUUCUUGUUUUCAGUUCCAGGUGUGGGGUGAUACAGACGAGGGUGUCUGUUCCUGUUACAGUCGCGUAGUCAGCAGGAUAUGUGUCUGCUCUGCAGGCUUGGACAUCCCUAAAGAGUGGAGAAAGAUCACAAUAAACCAGAAGUGUUUUUCUCACAUUUCAACAAGGUGACCUCCGGUAUGAGGUUCAUUAUGAAGUGACUUUGUCGAUGUCUUUGAGAAUUGUGAACACCUCAGUAACAUCCACAUUG